rnacentral:rRNA from 1 species
UACGUAGGUGGCAAGCGUUGUCCGGAUUUAUUGGGCGUAAAGGGAGCGCAGGCGGUGACUUAAGUCUGAUGUGAAAGCCCACGGCUCAACCGUGGAAGGUCAUUGGAAACUGGGUCACUUGAAUAUAGAAGAGGAAAGUGGUAUUCCAUGUGUAGCGGUGAAAUGCGUAGAUAUAUGGAGGAACACCAGUGGCGAAGGCGACUUUCUGGUCUAUUAUUGAUGCUGAGGCUCGAAAGCAUGGGUAGCAAACAGGAUUAGA